UACGUAGGGUGCGAGCGUUAAUCGGAAUUACUGGGCGUAAAGCGUGCGCAGGCGGUUUUGUAAGUCAGAUGUGAAAGCCCCGGGCUCAACCUGGGAAUUGCGAUGAAGACUGCAAGGCUUGAAUCUGGCAGAGGGGGGUAGAAUUCCACGUGUAGCAGUGAAAUGCGUAGAGAUGUGGAGGAACACCGAUGGCGAAGGCAGCCCCCUGGGUCAAGAUUGACGCUCAUGCACGAAAGCGUGGGGAGCAAACAGG
rnacentral:rRNA from 1 species